AACGAACGCUGGCGGCGUGCUUAACACAUGCAAGUCGUGCGUGAAAGGGGCUUCGGCCCUGAGUAAAGCGGCAGACGGGUGAGUAACACGUGGGUAACCUGCCCCUAGGCGGGGGAUAACCACUCGAAAGGGUGGCUAAUACCGCAUAAGACCACGUUUCUUCGGGGAUGUGGUAAAAGGCUUCGGCCACCAAGGGAGGGGCCCGCGGCCGAUUAGCUAGUUGGUGAGGGAAUGGCUCACCAAGGCGACGAUCGGUAGCUGGUCUGAGAGGAGGAUCAGCCACACUGGUACUUAGACACGGACCAGACUCCUACGGGAGGCAGCAGUGGGGAAUAUUGCGCAAUGGACGAAAGUCUGACGCAGCAACGCCGCGUGGGUGAAGAAGGCCUUCGGGUCGUAAAGCUCUUUCGCAAGGGAAGAAAACUUAGCUCUUAAUACGGGCUGAGGAUGACGGUACCUUGAUAAGAAGCACCGGCUAACUACGUGCCAGCAGCCGCCGUAAUAC
rnacentral:rRNA from 1 species